GGCUCAGGACGAACGCUUGCGGCGUGCCUAAGAAAUGCAAGUCGAGCGGGGAUAGCAAUAUCCUAGCGGCGAACGGUCGCGUAACACGUAAGCAACCUGCCCCGAAGACCGGGACAACAGCCCGAAAGGGCUGCUAAUACCGGAUGUGGCCAUCGAUAGGCAUCUAUUGAUGAUUAAACCGAGCAAUCGGCUUCGGGAGGGGCUUGCGGCCUAUCAGCUAGAUGGUGGGGUAACGGCCUACCAUGGCGACGACGGGUAGCUGGUCUGAGAGGACGGCCAGCCGGACUGGGACUGAGAUACGGCCCAGACUCCUACGGGGGGCAGCAAUUAGGAAUCUUGCGCAAUGGGCGAAAGCCUGACGCAGCGACGCCGCGUGGAGGAGGAAGGCCUUCGGGUUGUAAACUCCUUUUGUUGGGGAAGAACACAAUGACGGUACCCAACGAAUAAGCUCCGGCUAACUCCGUGCCAGCAGCCGCGGUAAUACGGAGGGAGCGAGCGUUGUCCGAAGUUACUGGGCGUAAAGCGCGCGUAGGCGGGGGAUUAAGUGAGAAGUGAAAGGCUGGGGCUCAACCCCAUGCAGUGCUUCUCAUACUGGUCCUCUUGAGGGUGGUAGAGAGAAGUGGAAUGGCUGGUGUAGCGGUGAAAUGCGUAGAUAUCAGUCGGAACACCGGUGGCGAAGGCGGCUUCUUGGGCCAUUUCUGACGCUGAGGCGCGAAAGCUAGGGGAGCGAACGGGAUUAGAUACCCCGGUAGUCCUAGCCGUAAACGAUGGAUACUAGGUGUUGGGGGUAUCGACCCCCCCAGUGCCGCAGCUAACGCACUAAGUAUCCCGCCUGGGGAGUAC
rnacentral:rRNA from 1 species